GCGCGGGUAUGCUUGAACCGAGAAGGCCAAGUACAAGGUCGCCGAUCAAAGCCCGUUCUUCUCAUUCACGGAGUGUCCGCCGCAGAGACCUGGAUAAGA
rnacentral:lncRNA from 1 species